ensembl:lncRNA
CUAAUCUAGGGAUACAACACCAUGGAACAGCAUUCCCGGGGGUUAAAUGAUGGUUGAACUUGCUCUGAAACGUUGACAUCCAGACACAGUUGAGUUUGAGGGCCACAUUCCAACAAAGAUUCCUGAUCUACCCCCUUUAACUGAAGUCACAGUGUCAACACUAUUUGAAGAAAUAGAGAACCAGUGGGUGGUCUCUGACAGAGUUAUUGUUAGCUAGGAGGAAGACAUGGACGGUUCAACGCUGACACAGAGGAGGGCUGAGUGUCAGUUGAAGGAAAGGGAGAUCCAGACAGACUACAUGAUGGAGCUAGGAGCCAGGUUGGCUCUGGUGAGACAGAUCCAGAGGGAGCAGGAGAAGGAGAUAAAGAGGAUUUGGUUUGAGACGAGGAAAAUGCCAAGCCUGAUUGAGGAGAAUGUGAGAGAUGUGACCAACCGUCCACUCACUGAGUUCAUGGCUCCCUGUAUUGACUCCCUCCCACCACUGGCUUUCACCAAUCGGAGGCCUAUACCAACCAUGUUGCAUCCCCCCUCUCCAUUGGCCAUAAGCACUCAGGAUGCACAGCGGUUCAUUGUAUUUUCCUACUUUGUCCCUGCUGAGUGCCCAGUUGCCACAGAGGCCACUGCAGAUGUAUCUACUGGUAAAAUAGAGGACUUGUCGACAGAUACACAUCUUUCCUCAAUGCUGCAUCGAUACCUGCCACACUUCUUUAACGAUGACUCCAUUCCACCACAGCAGACAGUAGAGGGAACCACUGAGGUCUCAGUUGAUCCAGUGGUAAUAUCUAGUAUCAAGGAAGAGGACAGAUUCUAUCCGUUCUCCCUCCCACCACUGGCUCAGCGGCUCAUUGGCAAUUCAUUCAUUGUCCCGGAAACAUCCCAUCUUGCUGUUUCAGCCACGGAGUGCCGAGUUGCCACAGUGGCCACUGCAGGUACAGCAACUGUCAAGAGAGAGAACCGAUGGGCAGCUAGAAUUCUUCCUUCAGUGCUGCCUCCAUGCCUGCCACCAGUCGUUGACAUUGACUACAAACUGCCAGGGGCGGCAGUAGAGGGCACCAGCAAGUGUCCAGUUGCCAGUGAAGCAGCAGCUUCCGUAUCUACUGUCCUCCAAGAGGAGUUUUUGACUGAUAAAAGUCCUCCUGCACCCACAGCACUGCCUCUAAGGCUGCCCUGGACCCACAAUAUUGACC